rnacentral:rRNA from 1 species
CCAGUUCGGAUCGGAGCCUGCAACCCGGCUCCGUGAAGCUAGGAUUCGCUAGUAAUCGCGCAUCAGCCAUGGCGCGGUGAAUACGUUCCCGGGCCUUGUACACACCGCCCGUCAAGCCAUGGGAGCCGGGGGCGCCUGAAGUGCGGUACCGCGAGGGCCGCCCAAGGGCGAGACCGGUGACUGGGGCUAAGUCGUAACAAGGUACC